UACAGAGGUCUCAAGCGUUGUUCGGAUUCAUUGGGCGUAAAGGGUGUGUAGGUGGCGCGGCUAAGUCGGGUGUGAAAUUUCGGAGCUUAACUCCGAAACUGCAUUCGAUACUGGCGUGCUUGAGGACUGGAGAGGAGACUGGAAUUUACGGUGUAGCGGUGAAAUGCGUAGAUAUCGUAAGGAAGACCAGUGGCAAAGGCGGGUCUCUGGACAGUUCCUGACGCUGAGGCACGAAGGCCAGGGGAGCAAACGGG
rnacentral:rRNA from 1 species